rnacentral:lncRNA from 1 species
GUCCCAGGUUCAAUGGCUGAGGCUGUUGCAAGGCUCUAGCUGUCACUCAGAGCAGCCAGGGAGCCAGCAGAGGGUCCUAGCCAGAAGUGGGUUCAGCUGCGGCUCAGGUGUUAACAGGCCACACCACACCAGCAGGGAGGAGAGGGGGGCCAGCUGGCUGGUCCAGCUCCCCUGGGGCUAAAGCUGAAUGCAGAUCUGCUGACCCUGAUCUACAGCUUGCGGAAGCUCUGCCUGUGUGCCCCCAUCUGCUGCUUCCUAGGGUUGGGGCCUGCUUCCUCAAAAGGAGAGUGGAUCUGUUCUCCUGCCAGCCCCCCACAGGGCCUUGUGGAGCCCUGGCCAUGUCCUCCCAAGAUCACAGGAUGGAAGCCAGCAGUCCAAUAGGCGUGCCACUCAAGCCAGCAGUGACCUGCAGCUUCUGCUUCCUGGAGAGUGGGGUGCCCACCCAAGAGAGCACAAGCACACCCCACACCCCUGACCUUGAGGGCACUGGGAGGUGGGGGCACUGUACUGGGACCAAGUCCCGGCAGCCUUGUGCGUGUGCCCUGGAAGGUAGCCUAGGAGUCCUGCGUGUGCCUCUCUGCACAGCAGGGAGGGG